GUCCCGGUAGCUCAGCAGGAUAGAGCGGCGGUUUCCUAAACCGUAGGCCAGGGGUUCGAGUCCCUUCCGGGACGCCA
rnacentral:tRNA from 1 species